UAAUUUAUGGAGUUUGUAUUAGUCCGAAUUGACCUUAUUGAUAAGUUAAAAAUGUAGAUGCUGACAUUGCUUUACUCUCGUUUCUUGCAGUUGAACAGCUCAUAUGCUGACUGAUCACCGAGCAGCGACAACAAGAGGUCACCGAUUUGCUGAUGUUGAAUGGACUUUUGCUUUUUCAAAUGUUAAUGUACUUUAUUGCAAAUAUUCAUGAAUAUUUGCAUUAAUGAAUAUUUGCAUUAAUGUGCCGACUUUUUUGCUGGUAGAUAUUUGUAUAAAACUUGAUUUUGUUACUAUGGUUUAUCUUAUAAAAUUCGAAGUUCUUGUUUCAGUAUUUUCUUCGUGUGUGUUAUGAGAUGCACAUAAAUCUUAUGAGAUUUUCAAUUAACCAUGAAUUAUUGAUGUCUUUAAAUCUGUUUAUAUUCUUUAGUCGUAGUGAAAUAAACCACUUGUGGCAGCAGUGAUUCAACACAGCAAUGAUAAGAAGAUGAAGAAAAGUUACAUCCACGCUCUCUUUAUUGAAUAUGUGCGAUAAUUUUGGUGGAAUAACAGCCAGUUAGCCAUUACCAAACAUCAAAAAUUCAAUGGGUGAGCUACUUUUCUUUGAAUGAGCUGACAGAACCCAAUACUGAUACUACCUUCCUCUUCAGAUGACCGGACGGCACAGACAUCUAGGCCUUUGCACUGGUAGGUACAGCAUAGAUAGAACAUUAUCAACAAUCUAUUUCCUUAUACAUGUCAAUAUGUUUCAUUGGUGCACCCAUAAAUCCCAACAUCCUCGAAAUUUCCUGAUGAAAGAAUGCCACAUGCUUAGAUUCGUCUAUACCUCGAACGGUAGAGAAAAAUUGUUGUUUUAAGUAGAAAAAAAGUUCAUACAAGAAAAGUAUGAAUGAAGUUUAGUAGUAUUCAAAGAAGAAACUAGUAUAUAAGUAAAUAAUUAAAGUAAAACUUAUUUAUGUUCGGAAACAAGAAUAAAUUUGGAAUUGUUACUAGAGUCCUUUCUAGCUGCUCGUUCCAUCCAUCUCUUCAUUUACAGAAAUUCCUAGUUAAGUCAAAAUAUUGCAACCACAUCAUACUAUGUUCAUUUUAGUCUAUUCCAACCUUACUAAUAAUCAAGAUUAAAUUCUUCUGUUUCAAAACCAGUAAAUCUUAUGAAAAUUCCAUGGAACAUAAAAAUAAAACAUCCAAAACGAAGACAAAUUUGUCUGCUAGAGAAAAUUAGUAUGUUUGCGACAAAAUAGAAGUUUGUACGUUAACCAUGAAAACCAAGUUCAGAAUAUUAUUCUUUUAGUAGGAGAAAAAUACACUAUCAGAAACCCGACCAAAAUCUACUUUGCACCGUCCAACUCAGCACCAAUGCCCCACUGGUUUAGCUUCUCAAGUAUUUCAGCCUUAGCCCUUCCCAUCAGCAGGGUACGAAGUUCAGAUUUAGAAAAUUCCUUUCUGCUUGUGGACUUGUCAUUAGUCGAAUUAACUCUUUCAGCUCCCAAAUUGCCCUUCGGAUUUCCAGAGGAAAUUGUUCGGGUCGCCCUGCUCCCUCCUGUCAUUUGGUCUGUCUUUGGUACUUUUUGACUUCUGCCCAUACUUGCGCCUCUUUUUGAUUGCCUUCUCCGAAACUGAGGGAAAAUCAGUUUUAUCUGGCAUAAUGCUAUUCCUUUGCAAAGCCUUCUCACUCUGGGCCAUAGCUACUGUCUUCAUGCCAUCCUUUAAGCUUUCACCUGCAGACGGGAUCAGUGGUUCAGUAGGAGUGGCUCUGGAAGGCGUAAAUGUAGCACUUCCGGAGCCCCCUGAUCCAGCAAACAUACCUUGUUGCUGUUGCUGGAGGACCGACCAAGGACCAGGUGUACGGCGUAUCUUUCCAGAUGAAGGGGCAGGCUUUUCUGACGCCAAAAAGGGCAGCAAACAGUUGGGACAGAAAAGAUUUUGGUUCAGAUACAUCUUGAGGUACUCAUAUUGCAUCCCGCAACCAUUGCAUGAUGACCAAAAAGUUUCUGGUCUUGAUGGAGGAGGACUAGGGAGCGGCUGAGAACUAGUAGCCUCAUCUUUGUUACCUUGCAUUUUUCAAAAUGAUUGUAUUCGCCUUUGUAAACCCAGUACACCCGUAGAAGUAUGUUCAGUUUUAUGAAUGUAAACUAGAAACAAUGAUAAAGCAACAACCAUAAUGGGGAUGCACUAAUCUUUCAAAUUUAGCAUAACCUAGAAAUGUUUGAACGUAAAGGAAUUAUGUUACUCUUCUCAUAUAUUUCAAUAUAACAGAAGUGAGAAGAAACUUUGACGACAAUAUCAGAGGAACAACUUAACAUGUCAAAAGUCAAUUUUUUUAAAAGAAACUCUAGUAGGCUGAAAAUAGUUAAUUUGACAUAAAAUUAAAUUCUUCAAAAGAUGAGUCUAUGUGACCCUUCUGGUCCAAAUGGAAGGAAGAAAACAAAAGAUCUAACUAACUAGAUACUACCAUACGUAUGAAAAAAUUGUAUAAAUUAAGAAGUCAGUGAAGCUAACAAUAAUUAUCAGUACAUAAUUGCAUACACGUAUGCAUGCAUAUGCAAGUAGUUACCUAUAGUUGUUCGAUCAGCUAUUUUCAUAACGGAUACGCAUCUAUAUGAGUGUAACAAAAAAUAAUGGAAGCAUUAAAGGCAAUGACAUAAUCCGACAAAAUACUACUUUUUAGGAAAUCUUAACUAGUAAGAUCCAUGGAAUAGAAGAGUCUUUCUAGACUGAUUUCUUAAUAAUCUGAAAAGCCAAAAAAAUGUGGGGGAGGGGAGCCAACCACGGAAACGGUAUCUUUUGACACAAUUUUUAUUUUUUUGAGAUCUAUAAAUCUUGACCUAAUUCAUGAUAGCUUGUUUUGUUAAUAAAUUUCAAUUGGAUUUUAAUUAAUGUUUCCAUCUUAAAGAUGUUAUCCAAGAAACAUGAAAGGAAACAACAAGAAACUUAAAACUAAAUUACUGAACAUUAAACCCCAUGCCAAACCAGCAUCAAAACAUCACGCAAACCUAUAUCCACUUGCAAAGGUCUUUCUACCCUAACACAAUAGUAAACAAAAACAAUAUCCUUUAAAUAAUUCAAACAAUAUUAGCAACCUUCACAAGAGCUCAUGGUAUAUUCAGUCAGACGUUGAAGUUUUAAUGAAAUUAAGACUCCAAUCUUCAGUCAUAGUGGAAGCCAAAGAAACUCAUAUUCAUUCCAAGCUAUUGAAAUGAGAAGAAAAAAACACGUCAAAUAAUUCACUCAUGCCCAGCAAUUCGUACCUCGUAUUUCAAGGGAGCAUAAAAGAUGACAAUCCUCAAUGAUGCAAAUGAUCUCUAAAAUAUAUAUGAGGCUGUGAAUUUCCUACACUUAUGUGCUUAUUUCUGAGGGGGAUUGACAGGGCUACCAAUUUAUAGAGAUUAUGUGCAAUUUGGAUGGAUUCAUCAAAUUACUUCUCAGAUUUCAUCAGAUUUUUGAAUAGUACUAUCUUUGUAAUAUGGUCAUGAUCACCAAAAUCAGAGUUUAUUACAUACGAAUAUUUACUAUAUCUAUGCGUUGUGGGUCCCAUGACACGUCUAAGCUCUCAUCACAAAGGCUGGGAUUGUUGGAAGUGGUCGUUUUUUAUCUCAAAAACUGUCUGAGAUGUGCAAACUUCUUAAGAAGAGGAUCUGAAUUUGCCAAAAGCCUGUGUUUCGCGCGUGUUCGUCGCUAACAAUUAAAAGGGAUCAGACAAUUGUGUAAGGGACAAACCUCUUGAGACAAAGUCCCAAAAAUGGGUGUUCUUUAUUGGCGAUGACUUUACAAUCGGAAAUUAAAAACAGAAUGCCUCCAAGGGACGCAAGCACACGAGUUACUGAAAGAAGUGUUUAAAUCUAAGUUAAGGAAUUUAAAAUUACAUGUUCUCUGUUCGAGAGUUUUUGAUUCGGUCCCCUGCUCUAUGUCUUUCCUUCCUUUUAUACUCCCUGGAUGAUCUCUUUGUGAUCAACCGCCUAAAAUCUGUUGGGUCGUUUUAUAACUGCCCACUUUCCUUGUAAUGGCCAAGUUGUCAUGGAACUGUCUUUUUUAACUGCUGCCAUUACUCUUCGUCGUUCAACCGUUUUCGAUUGAAUUCCUUGAAUCGUGGAACGUGAUAUGACUGCUUUAAUAACUGCUUUGAUAACUGCACUUCUUGAUAACUACAAAACUUUAUUUUUGUUAAGACUUUGGGCGACUUGAAGGUUUGGGCGAGAAUAGAGUAACAGUCAGCACAUAAUUUUAUAAGUCACAAUCAUAUAAAGCAGUAUGUCGAGUCACAUAACGUAUUACAAUCGUUAGGUCACAUUCACACAACCUAAUAGAUCGCAUUCACUCAACGUAUAGACAAUCUUCAUACGAAAUGAUAAUUUUCCCUAAAACACGUAUCUUAAGUCACAUUCUUCAAUGAUACGUGCAUACUUGAAACUAUAGGUUGUUACACUUUUGUGAUUGAAAGUCAUAGAUAUACAACAUAUAUGUCACGAUCACACAACUUAUUAUGUCAAAAUUAUAAUUUUCGCACAAAAUGAUUGAAAAAUAUUUUAGUCGAUGCCUGUGACCGAAAUGUUUAAUCCAUCCUUUACUAAUAGAUGUAAAAAUGACGCCAAAAACCGUGACCAAUUAUCCUGUAGAAAUUGUGGAUAAGAUUAUUCUAAAGAAAUCACGUUGAAAAUUUGUGGCUAACUUUUCAUAUAUUCUGAAUAAUCGUGCCAUGAAAGAUUGAGAUUCUAUUUUCCAUUUCAAUGUGAGAACUUUGGAGAAGAAGACAACUGAAUGCCCUUUUUAGGAAGUAAAUAAAAUGAGAGAAUAAUUACUAGUUAUCCUUUAUUAAUCUUUAAAUUAAGUCACAUUGUUCUAUUAUUUAAAUUCAUAUAUUUAUAAUUUUCAUCAAUAAAAUUAGUAUUUAUUUUACAUGGUUCAUACGAGCCAAUUGAAUUAGACACUUAAGUUUUCUAAUCUUUAAAGAAUUAAAAAGGAUGAAUUCUUAAUUUAAGGGCCGAGGUUGAACAAAUCUUGAUGAAUUCAAUAAGCAUUCAGCUUGAAUAUCUUAAUUAAUUUAAUAAUCGAGUCUGAAAUUUACAAGUCACUUAUAGAACGCUAUACAACGAUUUUUAAAAAAUGGCGUUUAAAUAAGAAGUACAUGUAAUUUUUAAACGUAUAUACGUAAUUUGAGCAAAUUGAAGUAUGUAACUUUUACAACGAUUAUAACUUAUACGCUAUUUUAAUAUAUUUAUUAUUUUUGAAAUUGUAACUUUCUCUUUACAAUAAAUUUAACUCUAAAUAUAAAGUUAAAACACUGACAUAUUACUCUACAUACAAAUUUAAGUCAUUAAAUUAUUAAAAAGUACAUAGUCAUAUCAGUUCAUAAAUUCUAAAUAAAUUUGAAAGAAAAUUGAAAUAUUGCAUGAGACAACUAAUUGCAGCAGAUAUUAAUAAUUCCAAUCAACAAAAAGCCCAUGCCAUCUAAAAUUCAUUCAAAUGACAUUGAAACUUUUGUUAGCUAAUUUCAUAAAUAUGGACAAUAACCAGAAUAUGUAAACAUAGGGAAAUAUGCAUGGAGCCUAGGUGGAUCAUUUGAAAAGUCUAUCGCAUGAUUUCACUUCUCCAUAUGUGACGUUUAUUUCGACAUGUUUAUUGGUGUGGGGACUUGGCUAUCGCCCCACAUUUUGAUAUUUCUUUCUCUUCUUCUCCAGCAUUCUCAUUAUUGGUUCAUUGGUGUACCUCGUCGGUGGGAUCUUAUACGAUCUACAUCAAUGGAUGCAUCAACAAUAAUUUUUAGUGGUAGGAGAAUUAUUUGAGACCGGCUUUCUCUUCAUCAUAUGGAGGCUGAGUUACGAGUUAUAUUUGAUGGGAUUUUACUUCCUCGAUGACUUGGAUUAUUUGACAUAUGGGUGGAAGCUGACUUACUUGUGGCCGUUCACUGUAUCGAUGGACUACCAUGGGUGAUUCAAAACAUUUAUCGUGAGGAGAAUUAUGUUUUUGAUUCACUUGCAUCAAGGGUUGGGUCCAGCGCCAUAUGGAUUGCUUGACCUACCACGAUGACUUCAUGCUCUUAUACUGUUAUACAGAGUAAUAAAUAUGGGCUUUCUAGUAUUAGAUGACAUUAAUUUGUUUCUCAUUUGUUUAGUAUAGGAAGUAAUACUUUCCCAUUUAUUUCAUUUUUACAUGCUGCAUUGUUUUCCUUUUGGAAGGUUAGGUUUAUGUUCAAUUUCCUUCAUUCUUGCGAGUUUAAUUUUAUAUAUGAUAGGGAAAUCCUAAUCCCAUCAACUUUUCUUGAUGGAGUCUAAAAAUUCAUUGAGAUGAUGUUGAAAAUUGGCAAAAAAAACACAAAAGAUGUAAACGGUACCUCUAGCAAUGCCUUUCAGAUUCAGAACUCAGAAUUCCUUACUUUAAUGAAAAACUAUAAAUUUUUUGACAGAAAAAUUUACAGAAUCUAUCUAAUCUAUACUUGGCAUGCAUUUUUUUCCCCCAAAACCAAACCUUUUUUAACAACAAAAUCGAAACCAAAUUAUUUCUAAUAGAUUUGGCGCGAUUCAUAAUCAAAUCAUUGACGGGUCCAUUAAAUACAAACUAACAAUUUUAUUAUCACUAUUUCUGUUCGAUCUGACGGAUGUGCAAUUUUUGUAUAGAGCCCUCACUAAACCAAUUCAAAUUAGUCACCAAACUUUACAGAGUGAGAUUUUCCUCCUUUACUCAAAUUAAUUGACCUAAGGUUAAGGAAGUUCAUCUAUAUUUUUAUCCCACUCAUGUUUUAGCUUUCAAAACGUCGGUUACGUUCUCUAAUCCAUAUUGAAAUUUGCAUUUAAGUACCAAAAUGAUGACUAUUGCAUCAUUUUAUUAAAUCCCUGUUUGGUACCAUUAUAAUUUAAUUUAAGUCAAAAUUAAUAUUCAAUUUUAACUACAUAUUUCAAGGGUUCCACAAAUCCCUGUUCUGUUAAAAAAUGGACGCCAAACUAGUUUGGCGGUAUAAUUGUAACAAAAUUUAUAGUUUAGUGACUUGAAUGAAAUUAUCUAAAAUUGCAUGACUAAUGUGAUAUUUUGAAUAAACUUCUGAAGUUAUCUGUAAAAUUAACUCCCUACCAUAUACUCCGCCUGUCUCCUCUCAAAAGUAGAGCAAUUUCUCGGUUCAUUCUCAGCCUUUCCCCCAGUUCCCUCCACAAAAUGGAAAACAACCCGCACCAAACGGCGGCGCCGGCGUCGGCGUCACAACAGGCGGUCUACCCAUCGCAGCCACCUUACCCGCAACUGCUACAGCAGCAGCAGCAGCAACUCCAGAUGUUCUGGACCUAUCAGCGUCGAGAGAUCGAGCAGGCGAACGAUUUCAGGAACCAUCAGCUGCCUUUGGCCCGCAUUAAGAAGAUAAUGAAAGCGGACGAGGAUGUUCGCAUGAUCUCUGCAGAGGCCCCGAUCCUCUUUGCCAAGGCUUGCGAGAUGUUUAUCCUCGAGCUCACUAUCCGAUCCUGGCUCCACGCGGAGGAGAACAAGCGGAGAACCCUCCAGAAGAACGACAUUGCUGCAGCUAUCACACGUACGGAUAUAUUCGAUUUUCUGGUGGAUAUCGUCCCCAGGGACGAGAUCAAGGAAGAGGCCGCGUCAUUGGGGGCGAUUUUGGGCCCUCCAGUGGUGGCGAGCGGAGCGACAGGGGUGCCCUACUAUUACCCGCCCAUGGGACAGCCCAUGAUGGGGCAGCCUGCAAUGCCCGGGAUGGAUCCGGGUAUGUAUCUGCAGGCCCCGUCUCCUCCGACCUCCCAGGCGUGGCAGUCUGUCUGGCAAACCGCACCAGAUGAUGGAUCCUACGCCAGUUGUGGUGGUACAAGCAGUAAUCAAGCAAACCUGGAUGGUCAAGAGUAAGAUUUUCUUUUUGCAGUUUCUUUCUUUUUCCAUUAUAAAAAAUGAAACUUUACACAGAUCUUAAUGACUUGGGUUUCGCGGAAUUCUAAUGAAAAUGUGUUUCUUUCAAAUUGUUUUGUCGAAGUUGAUAUUCUAAGGGAUACACUCGGUGUUGUUCAUCAUGUUUCAAAACAUCCGAACAUGUACCGUGGUCUUUAAUAAGAAGUUAUUCUAGGAUGUAUUCCAUCGACCUUUUCCAGACUUAUGCCUGGAGAUAAUGUGCUUCUUUUUUCGAUAGUCUUUGAUUGAGUUCCUGAAUGAUAUGAAUCAUAGUUGGCUAGCUACAUGAAAGUGUGUUGUUUUGCAGAACAUAUCCAUUGAUUGCAGUGGAUGAGUUUUCUUAGCCUUGCACCUUGAAUACUGGUCCUAGUAUGUGAAGUAUACGGGCAAUUGACGAAGUAAGAAGAAAUAGAAUGUACCUGACAUUCUGACUAAAUUAUACUUGUCUCAGGAUAUCGAUAUCUCUGAGAAUGUCUUAAUCAUUUUCAUGUGGAAUCGUAUAAACUGAAAACACAUGAUACUUAUGGCAGAGAAAGCAAGAAAAUAUCUAUCUAAAUGGAAAAAGACAGAUGCAGAUGUAUACAUGCAGAGAUGGGAGAGAGGAUAAUUCUAAAACGUAUAGAAAAUGUUUCUUUCGUGACUCGUGUGUUUAGAGAGAAGUUAAAGGUGAAUCUUGUCAGUUUCUGCGAGCAGGGGCAAAGAAAUUUGUUAUUAUGCGCACGAUUCAUACUACAUCGAUCUUACCUAACCUUAGGGUGGAAAGUUAAUGUGUUGGUUCUGGUCUACCAUAUUUGAUAACUGUUUAGGUUGUUGAAAAUAUUGACUUUCCAUUAAUUGUUACUAUUUUCUUCACUUGAUCGCUUUCAUUAGCCUCGUGGUUUUUCUCAACCCUAAGGGGUAGCUUAGUGGUUAGGCGAUGGGUUUGUUCCUCAAUGGUCACGAGUUCGAGUACCCUCAAGGCCACUGAGGCGAGGACCUGAUUGUAAACUUCAAGGUCUCGUGGGAUUAGUCGAGGUGCGCGUAAGCUGGCCCGGACACCCACGGUCAUAAAAAAAAAAUAAGGUUUUUCCCAGCUCUUUUUGUUUAAGAUGAGAUAUUUCAUAUCCUAUGAUAUGCUUAUUAGAUUAGUCUUGCACAUGUCCCAGGAAUGGUGUUUUUAGUGUACAACUUCAUUCAGCUUCAGACAAUCAUUAUCUCUUGCAUAUAUAUUGAAGAUUCUUCUAUAGAAUUUAGUCAUUGUCUAAUGUUGUAUGGUUUGCGUAGGCAACAUUCGAAUGCAAAUUUAUUAUUACCAAUUCUAUGUUUAUCCUUUUUUAUUUUGUGUGCGUGUGCAUACACACACACAUAUUUUAUUUUUUUCAGUUUAAUUUUAUUUAUUAUUAUUAUUAUUAUUAUUAUUAUUAUUAUUAUUUUAACUGUUAAGCAAACUGUUUUUGAGGUGCAUAUAAUUUAUGGAGUUUGUAUUAGUCCGAAUUGACCUUAUUGAUAAGUUAAAAAUGUAGAUGCUGACAUUGCUUUACUCUCGUUUCUUGCAGUUGAACAGCUCAUAUGCUGACUGAUCACCGAGCAGCGACAACAAGAGGUCACCGAUUUGCUGAUGUUGAAUGGACUUUUGCUUUUUCAAAUGUUAAUGUACUUUAUUGCAAAUAUUCAUGAAUAUUUGCAUUAAUGAAUAUUUGCAUUAAUGUGCCGACUUUUUUGCUGGUAGAUAUUUGUAUAAAACUUGAUUUUGUUAC
rnacentral:lncRNA from 1 species